rnacentral:rRNA from 1 species
AACGAACGCUGGCGGCAGGCCUAACACAUGCAAGUCGAACGCCCCGCAAGGGGAGUGGCAGACGGGUGAGUAACGCGUGGGAACGUACCCUUCGGUUCGGAAUAACCCGGGGAAACUCGGGCUAAUACCGGAUACGUCCGCAAGGAGAAAGAUUUAUCGCCGAAGGAUCGGCCCGCGUCGGAUUAGCUAGUUGGUGGGGUAAU